UUUGAGGCUGUUCUUGGUGGGGUCCACGAUCAGCACUUUGGUGAUCUGGUGGGAUAUCCAGUUGAGUUCUGGCACAGGAGAGACGUCUCCCUGCAGCACUGGCAGAAGUUGUAUGAAUUCUCAUGUGUCUGUUCAGGCUGCUCUUUAGUCCAAAUCUUCGAUCACA